rfam:Pan troglodytes isolate Yerkes chimp pedigree #C0471 (Clint) chromosome X, whole genome shotgun sequence.
CCAAAGACUCUUUUCAGAGCCAUGCAUAUAAUCAGACAAAAGCUGU